UUCCAGUAGCAAUAACCACGCACCUGCUAUGCAAAUUAUUGCGCAAUCGGUGUUCAGGCAAAAAGUUGACCGAAAAAUGUGGGGUGUUUUUAACGCUUCACUACGAGCAUGAAAGAAGUAAUCCAAAUGAAAAAUUUGCAUAUGUGGGAGGAGAUAUGUCCAAAUAAGCAGUAUCUGACCUUGCCAUGACCGGAAAAUAAAAAAUCAUUGCUCAAAAGUGAAAGUAAAAAAUUCGAAGGCCAAUAUUUUGCAGAAAGAAUGCAGAUUCACUUGAAAUUUAGCUUUUAAUAAAUCAAUUAUUGUGUUUUUUAAUAAAUUCUAACCAUUUGAAUCAGGUAUAUGCGCGUGAAAUAAUAUAUAUUUAUUUAUUUCCAACACCACUAUUCCUGUGCAGUAGAGUUACUCCCCUUUACGCGGAAUUAUUACAUUGUUGUUACGGUGAAUUCGGGAGCGAUCUUUUGAGCAGUUUUAUGGAUAUCCGUACGAUAAACACACUAUUUGUUUGGCAGGAAGAGAAAUCGUCUCAUUUGGUGUCGAUGCAGAGAACAUGACUGACAAAGAUCUAUUGGACAGUGAUUAUUAUGGGAUUUCACAAAUACAUGAGCACAGUUACAUUGUGAUAUCGGACUCUGACGAGACACAACCACCUUCACCUUUUGGUUGACAGGAAUAUUCCAGUGAAAGAUCAGUUAUUUAACAGCCUUUUUGACAAACAAAUUCCUGGUGCUGCCAUUCCUAAUCAACCGACAUAUCAGAAUUUUGGAUAAGAAUUCAGAUUACUGGCUGCAUAUUCAACCGAAUUUUUGGGUCCUGGGUUGGUGGGGGGUAACGUGUUUCAGACCAGAAUCCUGCCGGACCAUCCAAUUGCAAGGACAUCUAACAUAGCUGAAAUGUAUCUGUAAUGAAUUAUUAAAAGUUUGGAUAAAAAAUGUGUUCUUAAAUCAUUAUUUUAAACAAAUUAUACACCCAGGUUGACUAUUUUGAAAAAAUGAAAAAUGACAAUUUUUACACAUGGGAUUUUUCAAUGUUUCCGCAUUCACUAACAUUACUUUAGACAAUGUAAUAUAGACAAACCAUACAUAUUUGGAAAUGGUUUACUAAUAUCUAUCAGAAAAUGUAUAAUUUUACUGGGUUUAUGUCAAUUUUCAAAAUCAGUGGUUAUUGCUAGUUCCAGUAAAUUUGUUAAUAUGAAAUUCUUUAAUGUUUGAGAUAUUUAGAUAAAUUAUUACCCCGUAGUCAGCAUAUGCUGAGAUUUCUUGCU